GACGAACGCUGGCGGCGUGCUUAACACAUGCAAGUCGAACGGAAAGGCCCUGCUUUUGUGGGGUGCUCGAGUGGCGAACGGGUGAGUAACACGUGAGUAACCUGCCCUUGACUUUGGGAUAACUUCAGGAAACUGGGGCUAAUACCGGAUAGGAGCUCCUGCUGCAUGGUGGGGGUUGGAAAGUUUCGGCGGUUGGGGAUGGACUCGCGGCUUAUCAGCUUGUUGGUGGGGUAGUGGCUUACCAAGGCUCUGACGGGUAGCCGGCCUGAGAGGGUGACCGGCCUCAAUGGGACUAAGAUACGGCCCAGAGUGCUGCGGGAGGCAGCAUUGGGGAAUAUUGCACAAUAGGCGGAAGCCUGAUGCAACAACGUCGCGUGCGGGAUGACGGCCUUCGGGUUGUAAACCGCUUUCGCCUGUGACGUUGCCUGAGUGACGGUAAUGGAUAAGGAAGCACCGGCUAACUACGUG
rnacentral:rRNA from 1 species